GUUCAGAGGGUAAGCUGAAUAGAGGAGAGAAGCUGUGUGAAAGGCUGGGGGUGGGACUGUACAUUUGUACCUGUGGUACAUCCUGCCCUGUGUGGAAACAGGCAUUAAAGUGGCAAUCCAGUGGGAGCAGCCCUCUAGUUCUAUCUGCCAUUCCCGCUCUGGUGACGGUGUGAGAGGAUAGACCCAGGCACAUGCAUGGAACUCAUACCUUUCCCUUUUCAAAAUUUUCCAGUAGAUCUGCUUCCUAAAGGAGCUACAGAUGCCAUCAACAGUUAGAGAUGAAAUGCGGAAUCCUGAGCUCACAUCUUGAUAUACUAACACGGGUACCACUCUGAAACCUGCGAGGGACAGAGCAGCCGACUGGGGAUGCCUCAGGAUAGGAGCCAGGAGGAGCACUGUGCCCAGCAGGAAUCACUGGAGAAGGACAAACCAAAGCUGGGCCCUGUACCACUGUUGCCCUGAGCUGCAUGGGGCUGUGAGCACUGGGGCUUGUGACUUUGUAUUGGGAAUAAGGAGGGAGGCUGUCUCUCUGUGUGGGUUUGCCGAGAGCAGCAAAAGAGGGCACCGGAGGUGGUGGUUGUUGAACGUUUACUGGCACCUAAGACUCACUGCCAGAUUGGAACUCUGAGUACAGACUCAUUGCUUGGUGUCUUCCCUUUCACACUGUACUACCACUGGGCCUGUGGGGCCUUGUGUUUAAUGUAACAGUAUUUUACCACUCCCCCAUCUUG